rnacentral:rRNA from 1 species
GAAACCCCUGACAGUGUGGUGGAACCAUUUUUCUGUGGUUCUUACACUGAAUCUGAGCUGACGUGCAUGAUGCAUCAUCAAAGGCCGAAGAAGAUGGUGGCUUUUGAAGGUGCUUUGACUGGGAGGCGAUUCCUGGGUUGUCCUGUGCAGCAGGAUGUAGGUGUGAACUGUGGGGUUAUGGAGUGGGUGGAUGGUCCUUGUCCAGAGAUUCUACAAAGGUGCCUAACAAGGAUUUGGGACAUGUACCAUGAGCAGAACUUGGGGAGGGUGAAUGACAAACAAGCCCAUGAGAAAGAGGUGUGCAAGCUACAGAAGGAAAUUGAUUUCCUGUCAAACAACUAUAGCCAGUUGGUGGAAGAUGUAUCCAAACUUUUUAACUAUCAAGAUGGCAAGAUGUCUCAUGACAUGGACUAUAUCAGUCAGGCAAUCAAUGAACUAGCUGAGAGGAUCAGGCAAAGAUUGAGUUAA